rnacentral:rRNA from 1 species
GACGAACGCUGGCGGCGUGCUUAACACAUGCAAGUCGAACGGAAAGGCCCUGCUUUUGUGGGGUGCUCGAGUGGCGCACGGGUGAGUAACACGUGAGUAACCUGCCCUUGACUUUGGGAUAACUUCAGGAAACUGGGGCUAAUACCGGAUAGGAGCUCCUGCUGCAUAGUGGGGGAUGGAGAGAUUCGGCGGUGGGGGAUGGACUCGCGGCUUAUCAGCUUGUUGGGGGGGUAGUGGCGUACCAAGGUUUUGACGGGUAGCCGGCCUGAGAGGGGGGCCGGCGACAUGAGGACUGCGAUACGGCCCAGACUCCUAUCGGCGGCAACAGUGGGGAGUAUUACACAGUGGGAGGAAGCCUGAUACAGCAACGCUGCGUGCGGGAAGCGGUGCUUCGAGUUGUAAACCGCUUUCGCCUUUGCCGAAGCGUGAGUGACGGUAAUGGGUAAAGAAGCACCGGCUAACUACGUG